UACUUGGGACUGGCCAGCAGGGAGAACGCUUGCAUGCCCAGGGACCUGGGUGGCAGCAAGUUCGUUCACAGCAGGAGCACUGUCCUCCUCCCCUGUCCCUCCCCCAGUGGGAACACCAUGGCAAGAAGCCCCACAUUGUCCUCCAGCCACAGCUGGGGCCACCGUGGACAGCAGACAGCUGCAUGGACCUUCCUGCGGAAAAUGCCAAUUGUCCUGUGGCUGCUGCUCUUGGACACCUCCCUGCCGACUGCAAGGAGCCAGGCUACAAUUCCUCUGGAAACAGUGAAGCUCUGGGCUGAAACCUUCGGCAGGGAUCUGUACAGCACGGUGACCAGAUACUCGGGUUCUCUCCUGCUGCAGAAGAAGUACAAGGAUGCAGAACCCAGUCUGAA
rnacentral:lncRNA from 1 species